GGGUCGUUAGCUCAAUGGCUAGAGUUCCCGCCUUUUAAGCGGAGUGAUCAGAGUUCGAGUCUCUGACGACCCACCA
rnacentral:tRNA from 1 species